rnacentral:rRNA from 1 species
UACGAGAGGCCCAAACGUUAUUCGGAUUUACUGGGCUUAAAGAGUUCGUAGGCGGCGCAGAAAGUAGGGUGUGAAAGCCCUCGGCUUAACCGAGGAACUGCCUGUCAGACUGUGAGGCUUGAGACCGGGAGAGGUGAGUGGAAUUCCCAGUGUAGCGGUGAAAUGCGUAGAUAUUGGGAGGAACACCAGUGGCGAAGGCGGCUCACUGGACCGGAACUGACGCUGAGGCGCGAAAGCGUGGGGAGCAAACAGG